rnacentral:rRNA from 1 species
UGGGGAAUAUUGCACAAUGGGCGCAAGCCUGAUGCAGCCAUGCCGCGUGUGUGAAGAAGGCCUUCGGGUUGUAAAGCACUUUCAGCGAGGAGGAAGGUGGUGAGCUUAAUACGCUCAUCAAUUGACGUUACUCGCAGAAGAAGCACCGGCUAACUCCGUGCCAGCAGCCGCGGUAAUACGGAGGGUGCAAGCGUUAAUCGGAAUUACUGGGCGUAAAGCGCACGCAGGCGGUUUGUUAAGUCAGAUGUGAAAUCCCCGGGGCUCAACCUGGGAACUGCAUUUGAAACUGGCAAGCUAGAGUCUCGUAGAGGGGGGUAGAAUUCCAGGUGUAGCGGUGAAAUGCGUAGAGAUCUGGAGGAAUACCGGUGGCGAAGGCGGCCCCCCUGGACGAAGACUGACGCUCAGGUGCGAAAGGCGUGGGGAGCAAAACAGGAUUAGAUACCCUGGUAGUCCACGCUGUAAACGAUGUCGAUUUUGGAGGUUGUGCCCCUUGAGGCGUGGCUUCCGGAGCUAACGCGUUAAA